GACGAACGCUGGCGGCGUGCUUAACACAUGCAAGUCGAACGGAAAGGCCCUGCUUUUGUGGGGUGCUCGAGCGGCGAACGGGUGAGUAACACGUGAGUAACCUGCCCUUGACUUUGGGAUAACUUCAGGAAACUGGGGCUAAUACCGGAUAGGAGCUCCUGCUGCAUGGUGGGGGUUGGAAAGUUUCGGCGGUUGGGGAUGGACUCGCGGCUUAUCAGCUUGUUGGUGGGGUAGUGGCUUACCAAGGCUUUGACGGGUAGCCGGCCUGAGAGGGUGACCGGCCACGUUGGAACUGGGAUACGGCACGGACUCCUACGGGAGGCAGCAGUGGGGAAUAUUGCAUAAGGGGCGGAAGCCUGAUGCAGCAACGCCGCGUGCGGGAUGACGGCCUUCGGGUUGUAAACCGCUUUCGCCUGUGACGAAGCGUGAGUGACGGUAAUGGGUAAAGAAGCACCGGCUAACUACGUG
rnacentral:rRNA from 1 species